rnacentral:rRNA from 1 species
CCUACGGGUGGCAGCAGUGAGGAAUAUUGGUCAAUGGACGAGAGUCUGAACCAGCCAAGUAGCGUGAAGGAUGACGGCCCUAUGGGUUGUAAACUUCUUUUAUAGGGGAAUAAAAUGUUCCACGUGGGGGAGUUUGUAUGUACCAUAUGAAUAAGGAUCGGCUAACUCCGUGCCAGCAGCCGCGGUAAUACGGAGGAUCCGAGCGUUCUCCGGAGUUAUUGGGUUUAAAGGGAGCGUAGGUGGAUUGUUAAGGCAGUUGUGACAGUUUGCGGCUCAACCGUAAAAUUGCAGUUGAAACUGGCAGUCUUGAGUACAGUAGAGGUGGCCGGAAUUCGUUGUGUAGCGGU